AACGAACGCUGGCGGCAUGCCUAACACAUGCAAGUCGAACGAGACCUUCGGGUCUAGUGGCGCACGGGUGCGUACCGCGUGGGAACCUGCCCGUAGGUUCGGAAUACCUCCCCGAAGGGGGUGCUCAUGCCGGAUAAUGUCUUAGGACCAAGGAUUUAUCGCGUUUGGAUGGGCCCGGGUUGGCUUAGCUGGUUGGUAGGGUACAAGCCUACCAAGGCGACGAUCCAUGGCUGGUCGGAGAGGAGGAUCAGGCACACUUGGACUGCGACCCGGCCUAGCCGCGGACGGGAGGGUGCAGUGUGGAAUAUUGGACGCGGGGGGCAAGCGUGAUCCAGCAGCGUCGCGUGAGUGAGGAAGGGGUUUGGGUUGUAAAGUCCCCUGACCCGGGACGAGAAUGACGGUACCGGGAGAAUAAGCACCGGCUAACUACGUG
rnacentral:rRNA from 1 species